rnacentral:rRNA from 1 species
CCCGCACAAGCGGUGGAGCAUGUGGUUUAAUUCGAUGCAACGCGAAGACCUUACCAGGGCUUGACAUCUACAGAAUCGGGAGGAAACUUUCGAGUGCCCUUCGGGGAACUGUAAGACAGGUGGUGCAUGGUUGUCGUCAGCUCGUGUCGUGAGAUGUUGGGUUAAGUCCCCGCAACGAGCGCAACCCCUAUGUUUAGUUGCUAGCGAGUAAGGUCGAGCACUCUAGACAGACUGCCGGUGAUAAACCGGAGGAAGUGGGGAUGACGUCAAAUCAUCAUGCCCCUUAUGUUCUGGGCUACACACGUGCUACAAUGGCCGGUACAAACGGAAGCGAAGCCGCGAGGUGAAGCAAAUCUGAUAAAACCGGUCUCAGUUCGGAUUGCAGGCUGCAACUCGCCUGCAUGAAGUCGGAAUCGCUAGUAAUCGCAGGUCGGCAUACUGCGGUGAAUACGUUCCCGGGCCUU